UACGGGGGGGGCAAGCGUUGUUCGGAAUUACUGGGCGUAAAGGGUCUGUAGGUGGCCAACUAAGUCAGACGUGAAAUCCCUCAGCUUAACUGGGGAACUGCGUCUGAGACUGGAUGGCUCGAGUGCAGGAGAGGAAUGCGGAAUUCCAGGUGUAGCGGUGAAAUGCGUAGAUAUCGGGAGGAACACCAGUGGCGAAGGCGACUACCUGGCCUGUUCUUGACGCUGAGGCGCGAAAGCUAGGGGAGCAAACGGG
rnacentral:rRNA from 1 species